rnacentral:snRNA from 1 species
GGAUGUGAGGGUGAUCUGGCUGCGACAUCUGUCACCCCAUUGAUCGCCAGGGUUGAUUCGGCUGAUUUGGCUGGCUGGGCGGGUGUCUCCUUCCUCCCUCACUGCUACACGUGCGUCCCUCUGAAGCUGCACACUCAGUCGAAGAGGACGACCUUCCCCGCUAGAGGAGGACCGGUCUUUGGUCGAGGGUAUAUGAGUGGCUGUGUUCCCCUGCUAGAACCUCCAAACAAGCUUCAAAAUGCAUUGUUAGAUGAAGCCAGCAAGUUACAACAGUAUGGAUAGCAGGAUCACAUUUGU